UACGUAGGGUGCAAGCGUUAAUCGGAAUUACUGGGCGUAAAGCGUGCGCAGGCGGUUAUGCAAGACAGAGGUGAAAGCCCCGGGCUCAACCUGGGAAUGGCGAUGGUGACUGCAAGGCUAGAGUUUGGCAGAGGGGGGUAGAAUUCCACGUGUAGCAGUGAAAUGCGUAGAGAUGUGGAGGAACACCGAUGGCGAAGGCAGCCCCCUGGGUCAAGACUGACGCUCAUGCACGAAAGCGUGGGGAGCAAACAGG
rnacentral:rRNA from 1 species